AUUGAACGCUGGCGGCAGGCUUAACACAUGCAAGUCGAGCGGGGUGAUGGUGCUUGCACUAUCACUUAGCGGCGGACGGGUGAGUAAUGCUUAGGAAUCUGCCUAUUAGUGGGGGACAACAUCUCGAAAGGGAUGCUAAUACCGCAUACGUCCUACGGGAGAGAGCAGGGGAUCACUUGUGACCUUGCGCUAAUAGAUGAGCCUAAGUCGGAAUAGCUAGUUGGUGGGGUAAAGGCCUACCAAGGCGACGAUCUGUAGCGGGUCUGAGAGGAUGAUCCGCCACACUGGGACUGAGACACGGCCCAGACUCCUACGGGAGGCAGCAGUGGGGAAUAUUGGACAAUGGGGGGAACCCUGAUCCAGCCAUGCCGCGUGUGUGAAGAAGGCCUUAUGGUUGUAAAGCACUUUAAGCGAGGAGGAGGCUCUUUUGGUUAAUACCCAAGAUGAGUGGACGUUACUCGCAGAAUAAGCACCGGCUAACUCUGUGCCAGCAGCCGCAGUAA
rnacentral:rRNA from 1 species